GAUGAACGCUGGCGGCGUGCCUAAUACAUGCAAGUCGAGCGAACGGACGAGAAGCUUGCUUCUCUGAUGUUAGCGGCGGACGGGUGAGUAACACGUGGAUAACCUACCUAUAAGACUGGGAUAACUUCGGGAAACCGUAGCUAAUACCGGAUAAUAUUUUGAACCGCAUGGUUCAAAAGUGAAAGACGGUCUUGCUGUCACUUAUAGAUGGAUCCGCGCUGCAUUAGCUAGUUGGUAAGGUAACGGCUUACCAAGGCAACGAUGCAUAGCCGACCUGAGAGGGUGAUCGGCCACACUGGAACUGAGACACGGUCCAGACUCCUACGGGAAGCAGCAGUAGGGAAUCUUCCGCAAUGGGCGAAAGCCUGACGGAGCAACGCCGCGUGAGUGAUGAAGGUCUUCGGAUCGUAAAACUCUGUUAUUAGGGAGGAACAUAUGUGUAAGUAACUGUGCACAUCUUGACGGUACCUAAUCAGAAAGCCACGGCUAACUACGUG
rnacentral:rRNA from 1 species